CGAGCACUGGCACGGGGGCCGGCGUCCACGUCUGAGAAGGUCGUUGGUCGUCUUGAUCUUCGCGUGUCCAGGCCAAGGUCUGAUCAACCAGGGGGUUACGAGAGAGAAUCGUUCACAGAGCUGCCGACGGGGCGAGCGCCUACCCAGGCUGGAGGCCCGGGGCCCUGCCGAGCCCGGGAAGGUUCCGCCCGGCGGGGCCUCUGGGACGCCUCGGAGCGCGGCCCGGGAGGAAUGGAAACCGCUUCACGGGCAGGACGAUUCUUGCCAGGCGAACCCAGCCCCGGGCUGGAUCUGAGAUGAAAGAGCUACCGUGAAUCUGCCUACAACACCAGGAGAUACCCCCCAAGCCAUGCCCUGACUACAAAGGUCACCACUGGAAGUUGAACAGCACUCUGAGGCGAGGAUCCAGAGUUCAGACUCAUCUUCCUGGCUGAUCUAGCAAGACUAAAGGGCCCUGGGACACUCUCUGCAUUCUUCCUCUGGCCAGACUGUCAUCUCCACAGAGCAGGGAAAUCAUGACUAUAGAAGGGAAGAGAACCUCUUGCUGGCCAUUGGCAUAUGCUACUUUGUCCUCUUCAAACCUGGCCUUUACACUUCCUUCUUCUCCUGGCAAGAUGGCGGGGGGUGAAGCUGGAGUGACUCUGGGGCAACCGCACCUUUCUCGCCAAGAUCUUGCCACUUUGGAUGUUACCAAGCUGACACCACUUUCACAUGAAGUAAUCAGCAGACAAGCUACAAUUAAUAUAGGAACCAUUGGUCAUGUAGCUCAUGGGAAAUCCACGGUUGUAAAAGCCAUUUCUGGAGUUCACACUGUCAGGUUCAAAAAUGAACUAGAAAGAAACAUUACAAUUAAGCUCGGAUAUGCUAAUGCUAAGAUUUAUAAACUUGAUGAUCCAAGUUGUCCUCGACCAGAAUGCUAUAGGUCAUAUGGAAGUGAUACCCCUGAUGAGUUUCCUACAGACAUUCCAGGGACCAAAGGGAACUUCAAAUUGGUCAGACAUGUUUCCUUUGUUGACUGUCCUGGCCAUGACAUUUUGAUGGCAACUAUGCUGAACGGUGCAGCAGUGAUGGAUGCAGCACUCCUGUUGAUAGCUGGCAAUGAAUCUUGCCCUCAGCCUCAGACUUCUGAACACUUGGCUGCAGUAGAAAUCAUGAAACUGAAGCAUAUUUUGAUCCUACAGAAUAAAAUUGAUUUGGUAAAAGAAAGUCAGGCUAAAGAACAAUAUGAACAGAUCCUUGCAUUUGUACAAGGUACAGGAGCAGAAGGGGCUCCCAUUAUUCCAAUUUCUGCCCAGCUGAAAUACAAUAUUGAAGUUGUCUGUGAGUACAUAGUAAAGAAAAUACCAGUACCUCUUAGAGACUUCACCUCAGAACCUCGACUUAUUGUUAUUAGGUCAUUUGAUGUCAACAGACCUGGUUGUGAAGUUGAUGACCUUAAGGGAGGUGUGGCUGGGGGUAGUAUUCUAAAAGGAGUACUGAAGGUGGGCCAAGAGAUAGAAGUCAGACCUGGCAUUGUUUCGAAAGAUAGUGAAGGAAAACUCAUGUGUAAGCCAAUCUUUUCCAAAAUUGUAUCACUUUUUGCAGAACAUAAUGACCUUCAGUAUGCUGCUCCUGGGGGUCUUAUUGGAGUUGGCACAAAAAUUGACCCCACCUUGUGCCGAGCUGACAGAAUGGUGGGGCAGGUCCUUGGUACAGUUGGAGCUUUACCUGAGAUAUUCACGGAAUUAGAAAUUUCCUAUUUCCUACUUAGACGGCUUCUAGGUGUACGCACUGAAGGUGACAAGAAAGCAGCAAAGGUCCAAAAGCUGUCCAAAAAUGAAGUACUUAUGGUCAACAUAGGAUCUCUGUCAGCAGGAGGAAGAGUUAGUGCUGUCAAGGCUGAUUUGGGCAAGAUCAUUCUGACUAGUCCUGUGUGCACAGAGGUGGGAGAAAAAAUUGCUCUGAGCAGAAGAGUUGAGAAGCACUGGCGUUUAAUUGGUUGGGGUCAGAUAAGAAGAGGAGUGACAAUCAAGCCAACCACAGAUGAUGACUGAAGAGUCCCAGUUCAAUUGUACAUCUGAAUGCAGCUGGAAUUUUCUGAACAAUUAAGGGGUAUAUUUUAAGAGAAUUAAUUUCACACCUCAUUACCUUAGUAGGUAGAUGUAAGAUUCUUCUUCUUUUUGGGUGAUGAAAAUCUAACCUGUAGUACUAAUACAAGGUCUCCAAUAAAUGUA